rnacentral:rRNA from 1 species
UACGGAGGGUGCGAGCGUUAAUCGGAAUUACUGGGCGUAAAGCGCGCGUAGGCGGUUUGAUGAGUCCGUCGUGAAAGCCCUGGGCUUAACCUGGGAACUGCGGUGGAUACUGUUGAGCUAGAGUGUGGUAGAGGGAAGUGGAAUUUCCGGUGUAGCAGUGAAAUGCGUAGAGAUCGGAAGGAACACCAGUGGCGAAGGCGGCUUCCUGGACCAACACUGACGCUGAGGUGCGAAAGCGUGGGGAG